AGUGAACGCUGGCGGUAGGCCUAACACAUGCAAGUCGAACGGCAGCACAGUAAGAGCUUGCUCUUACGGGUGGCGAGUGGCGGACGGGUGAGGAAUACAUCGGAAUCUACUUUUUCGUGGGGGAUAACGUAGGGAAACUUACGCUAAUACCGCAUACGACCUACGGGUGAAAGCAGGGGAUCUCCGGACCUUGCGCGAUUGAAUGAGCCGAUGUCGGAUUAGCUAGUUGGCGGGGUAAAGGCCCACCAAGGCGACGAUCCGUAGCUGGUCUGAGAGGAUGAUCAGCCACACUGGAACUGAGCCACGGUCCAGACUCCUACGGGAGGCAGCAGUGGGGAAUAUUGGACAAUGGGCGCAAGCCUGAUCCAGCCAUACCGCGUGGGUGAAGAAGGCCUUCGGGUUGUAAAGCCCUUUUGUUGGGAAAGAAAAGCAGCAGGUUAAUACCCCGCUGUUCUGACGGUACCCAAAGAAUAAGCACCGGCUAACUUCGUG
rnacentral:rRNA from 1 species